AGUGAACGCUGGCGGUAGGCCUAACACAUGCAAGUCGAACGGCAGCACAGUAAGAGCUUGCUCUUACGGGUGGCGAGUGGCGGACGGGUGAGGAAUACAUCGGAAUCUACUUUUUCGUGGGGGAUAACGUAGGGAAACUUACGCUAAUACCGCAUACGACCUACGGGUGAAAGCAGGGGAUCUUCGGACCUUGCGCGAUUGAAUGAGCCGAUGUCGGAUUAGCUAGUUGGCGGGGUAAAGGCCCACCAAGGCGACGAUCCGUAGCUGGUCUGAGAGGAUGAUCAGCCACACUGGAACUGUGACACGGUCCAGACUCCUACGGGAGGCAGCAGUGGGGAAUAUUGGACAAUGGGCGCAAGCCUGAUCCGGCCAUACCGCGUGGGUGAAGAAGGCCUUCGGGUUGUAAAGCCCUUUUGUUGUGAAAGAAAAGCAGCAGGUUAAUACCCCGCUGUUCUGACGGUACCCAAAGAAUAAGCACCGGCUAACUUCGUG
rnacentral:rRNA from 1 species